UGCGUCGGUCUAUCUGGAUCGAUCACCGUUCUCAUGAUGAUACUAUGAUCAAAAAUAAUUUAAGAAUUAAUUAUACAUGCCUCUAAUUUUCAACUUUUUAAAAAUAUAUAUCUUAAGUAUUCAUCCCUUAGAUGAUUCAAUGAUACAUCACACUUGAAUGAAAAUAAAAAUUUAUCCAUUUUAUUGAUCAAAUCAAUAUUUUAAAUAUAAAUUUAUGUUCU
rnacentral:lncRNA from 1 species